UACGAGGGGGGCAAAUGUUGUUCGGAAUUACUGGGCGUAAAGCGUAUGUAGGCGGAUCGUUAAGUCGGGGGUGAAAUCCCGAGGCUCAACCUCGGAACUGCCUUCGAUACUGGCGAUCUUCGAGUCCGGGAGAGGUGAGUGGAACUCCGAGUGUAGAGGUGAAAUUCGUAGAUAUUCGGAAGAACACCAGUGGCGAAGGCGGCUCACUGGCCCGGUACUGACGCUGAAAUACGAAAGCGUGGGGAGCAAACAGG
rnacentral:rRNA from 1 species